UUUUACUAUAUGUGUCGACUUUUGUAGGAUUGAGUUAAAAAAUAUAUGGAGCUCAAAAAUAUAAAUACAACUAGAUUGCUUCGAUGGGGAUAUAACAAGAUUGUCGUGCAUGCUCCUCACUGGGGAUACAUACAAGUUGAUACGAGGACUUUUUGGAAAGUGAUGAGGCGCUCCUAGGAUUUCUAAGAAAGAACAAGUUUGAAUCUCAUAUUUAUUUUUGUGAAAAGCAUACAUAUGCUAGCUACGAUCCAUAUUUUGUAAAGUUUCCGAUCGAUGUGAAAUUUAUUACUUACAAUAGUUUUGUAAAGCCUUUUAUCUAUGUGAAAUUUAUAACUAAGUUUAGAUGUAUGUUAGAUAAUAUUCAUUUGAAUUAUUGAUUUAUGCUA